UGUCUCAAACCUCUCGGUAUCUCACUUCUACAUCGGCAGAGUGAAUGUUAUCCUGGCCCCUGUGCACUGCCAGCCAUAUCAGUCCAUUCACUGACACUG